GCCGGGAGGACAGGGAGGAGGAGGAGGGAGACAGGCACAAGAAGAGGAAGAAGAGCAAGCAUAGCGACAGGGACAAAGGGAAAGAGAGGGAUUCGAAGGAGAGGCAUUCCAAAGAGAAGGAGAAGAGCAAGAGAAAAGACAAGGAUGCAGUGAGUUCCCUGAACGAUAUAUCCUCUGUUUCAUUGGCCAUUACUGAAUAAAUAGCUUGCUUACGAAUGAUUUGAUUUAUCUGAACAUUGUAAAUAAAUUGCUGUAGAAGAUUGAGCUUUCAUUGGCAGUGGAACACUGCUUUGAAUAGAACCAAUUUGAGGAAUAGUGUUGGCUUACCCUAUAAGUAAAAGUGUAGACCCAAACUUAGAACUUGUUUCAUGUUUCCAGUUUUGGCUGUGUCUUGAAAGAAUGAAUUAGGGAUAAGAACAUAGGGUAUGUAAACAUCUCUACAAUUAUCACUGCCGAAGUAUAAGUUACUUUGUGUCGUCAUAGACACGGGAGGUUCAUGGAAAUAUCCAAGAAUCUAUUUCUCAUCUGUAGGCUGAAUAGAACAUCGAAACUUGCCAUAACGUGUUUUACCGUAUGAAGGCUGAAUUGAGGAACAUGAUUUGUUGUUACCAUUCAUGUUUAGUUCCCAAAAAUUUUUCCUACAGUAUCCAUCACAUCGAAUCUUCGGACAUAUGCAUGGAGCAUUAAAUGCAGUUGGAAAAAAUAACUAAUUACACAGUUUAACUCUAAACGACGAGACGAAUCUUUUAAGCCUAAUUAGUCCAUGAUUGUAUAUUAAUUGCCAAACAACAACGAAAGUGCUACAGCAUCAAAAUUCAAAAAAAUUCGCAAACUAUACAAGGCCAACCUGAAAUAGGGAUGCAAGUAUGCAUUUUAUGCUUUCUAGGAUAUUCCUUCCUCUGUGCUAUCUUUUAUGCUGUAACUUAUUGAAAAUUUGAAAUAUUAGUACGUACAUUCCCGGUCCAAAGGCAUGGGCUUUGGCCCACAAAGGUAAGGCAACGUCCGACGUCGACUACAAUCCGGAGGACCCGCCCUCGGCGUACAACAAUGCGACCGUCCACAGCUACCUCAAUGAGUACACAUCGAUGGCAAGGGAGGUCCAUGGGCCAGAGUACAAUCCGAGCACCCAGGACCUUGAUGCAGAAAUGGUCAUGAGGGUGGGAGGAGGCAAGAAGCACGGCCAGUGCUAGAUUGACGACAGCACACUCGACACGGCCAGUACUCCCACUCUCUCGCAGAUUCGAGCUAGGAGCACCAGCUCAAGCCCGGCCAUACACCCACGGGCAGACACUGCACAGACCCAGAUGGAGGCACUCCGGGCCCGGAUAGAAGCAGAUUUUAAAGCACAGCAGGACGAAAUGGCGGCAAGGUGGCAGGCCGAGCGGGAGAGGAUGCAGCAAGAGUUUCGGCGGAGGCACGAGGCUGAACUCCAGAAACUGGAGCAGGCUCUUCAGUACGUGCACUCCAUGGGCGCAGCGAUGGGUUUUUCGCUGCCACCAUUCACUCUACCUGCACCUCCACCUCGUUUAGCUACUUCGAAUCAAUCGGCCGCAUCCAAUAAUGGGCCAGUCAACCCGAAGAUGUCGUCGCCUUCGCUGCCUUAGUGGAUGCCUCAGUGGUGGCUGCAUCCGCCGCCACCGCUGGUGGCGGCCUAGUGAGUUGUAUGGACUUGGUUUGUAUGGACAUAUAUGCUUGUUUUGCAUUAGGACUUGUAUGGACUAUUGUAUUGACUUGUCUGCACUACUAGUGGUUCUGGAUGAACGAUACUAGAGUUUAUUUGCGUUUGUGGAUUACUUGACUAUAUAAACUGCCUGUGAUGUUUAUUGUGGUAUAUGAAAUACCUGCGAUGAUUAUUGUGAUAUA